rnacentral:rRNA from 1 species
GAUGAACGCUGGCGGCGUGCUUAACACAUGCAAGUCGAACGAGAAGUGAAGACGGAACCCUUCGGGCGGAAGGCUUUAUUUCGAGUGGCGGACGGGUGAGUAACGCGUGGGUAACCUGCCUCAUACAGGGGGAUAACAGUUGGAAACGACUGUUAAUACCGCAUAAGACCACAGCACCGCAUGGUGCGGGGGUAAAAACUCCGGUGGUAUGAGAUGGACCCGCGUUCGAUUAGCCAGUUGGCGGGGUAACGGCCCACCAAAGCGACGAUCGAUAGCCGAUCUGAGAGGAUGACCGGCCACAUUGGGACUGAGACACGGCCCAAACUCCUACGGGAGGCAGCAGUGGGGAAUAUUGCACAAUGGGGGAAACCCUGAUGCAGCGACGCCGCGUGAGUGAAGAAGUAUUUCGGUAUGUAAAGCUCUAUCGGCAGGGAAGAAAAUGACGGUACCUGAGUAAGAAGCCCCGGCUAACUACGUG